CUCCAUCUAGUACUGAUAAGUCUGAGAUAGUGGGGUUGUUUCUUGGGUUGAAUUUAGAAGUAAUAGCAAGUUCUGAGCAUCUAAGAAAGCCAAAAAAGGCUAGGAUGAACAUGGCGUCGAGUGUUCGCGCGGUAUUGAGAGGUUGGUAGCCUGUGCGGAGGGUACGAAUGCAUUUGUUGAGGAUGUCUAGUGUUAUCGGUUGUCUGGUGUCGGGUCGGGUGGGCUGGGAUCUUUGAAUACCUUUAAGCAGGAGGGAGGUUUGAGAAUUAUUUAUCUCCUGCGAGGGAGCGCCGUAAAUUAGUUUAUGGAAAAACUGAAUGCCGCUCAGGUAACCUUUAAUGGAUCCUACUUGGAGGCCUUUAAUGGUAUUAAGGUGGGAAAUAAAUGAGGUGAUAGAAAGGAGAGAGAAAUCGGGGAAUGGCAUGUUAUAGGAGAUGUGGAAUGCUCUAAAGUUUCUCCAAGCGGUCACGUAAGAUUGGAGGGUCCUGGGAGACACUGCUCCGAGGAUGGUGUCGAGCGAUGCAUCGAGGAGGGGUUUUAGCGGGUGAGUUAUGGGAAUAUCGGUCGCGAAUAGUGAGGUACUGAAGUUGGGGAUUUGUCCGCCUCUGGAGCCAGCAUCCUGAAUUUCUGAGAGGAUCAGAGCACGGAUGUUUUUAGAUACCGGUGGGGGUUCCAUGGCAACUGCGUUGGACGCCACGGGCAACGGAGUAGCUGUGAAGAGAGAGUAUGGUGAUUUAGUUUGUGCAGAAGAGCUGGGAAGGGUAUAAUUCGGGGCUACGAAUGUCGUCGGCAGCAUCGUGCUUGAGUGACCUGUUGUGGUUUGAAAAUGAAAGUUAGUUGGAAGGUGUGAAGGAUAAAAGGAUGAAGUGUGGGCUUGAGCUGCAAACGGAGGCAGGCCCGCGCCUGUUUGAGAUGGUAAAGCUGCAUGCCGCUGUAUGUGGGCGGGGUUGUAACCUAAUGGGUAGAGAGACUGUUGACAUGGAUUAGCCUGUGCUGCUAGCUGCAAUAGCUUUGCGCUAGUGUCUGUGACAGGAGCUGAAGGCCACUGAAAAAGAAAAGGGUUAUGAGGGUUAUGAAACUGAGCUGCUAAAGGGAGGACACUGGGCCCGACCAUUUGCGGCGCUGCGGCGGCAGAGGCAAUGGCGGAGGGCUGGGUCUUGUCAAGAGGUGGAAAAGGACCUGUCAUGGUGAAAACUGGGGCAUGGCCUAGACUCGCUGGAGCCCUGUUGCUGUGACUCGAUUGGCGAAGUGAGCCGUGUUCUGAAUGGGCAGACAACGGAGGUGGCUGGACAGAAGCCUGUAUAUCCGAGUUACCCAGCGCUUGUCUCAGGCCGGCUACGGUCCACUUCCCGAUGGGUGGGAUAGUCGGGGUGGCCGA